rnacentral:lncRNA from 1 species
AUGCUCAAAAUUCUCCAAGCCAGGCUUCAGCAAUACAUGAACCGUGAACUUUCAGAUGUUCAAGCUGGUUUUAGAAAAGGCAGAGGAACCAGAGAUCAAAUUGCCAAUAUCCGCUGGAUCAUGGAAAAAGCAAGAGAGUUCCAGAAACUCAUCUAUUUCUGCUUUAUUGACUAUGCCAAAGCCUUUGACUGUGUGGAUCACAAUAAACUGUGGAGAAUUCUGAGAGAGAUGGGAAUACCAGACCACCUGACCUGCCUCUUGAGAAACCUGUAUGCAGGUCAGGAAGCAACAGUUAGAACUGGACAUGGAACAACAGAUUGGUUGCAAGUAGGAAAAGGAGUAUGUCAAGGCUGUAUAUUGUCACCCUCCUUAUUUAAUUUAUAUGCAGAGUACAUCAUGAGAAACGCUGGGCUGGAAGAAGCACAAGCUGGAAUCAAGAUUGCCGGAAGAAAUAUCAAUUACCUCAGAUAUGCAGAUGACACCACCCUUGUGGCAGAAAGUGAAGAGGAACUAAAGAGCCUCUUGAUGAAAGUGAAAGAGGAGAGUGAAAAAGUUGGCUUAAAGCUCAACAUUCAGAAAACAAAGAUCAUGGCAGCAUCUGUUCCCAUUACUUCAUGGGAAAUAGAUGGGGAAAUAGUAGAAACAGUGUCAGACUUUAUUUUGGGGGGCUCCAAAAUCACUGCCGAUGGUGAUUGCAGCCAUGAAAUUAAAAGAUGCUUACUCCUUGGAAGGAAAGUUAUGACCAACCUAGAUAGCAUAUUCAAAAGCAGAGGUCCAACAAAGGUCUGUCUAGUCAAGGCUAUGGUUUUUCUAGUGAUCAUGUAUGGAUGUGAGAGUUGGACUGUGAAGAAGGUUGAGCACCAAAGAAUUGAUGCUUUUGAACUGUGGUGUUGGAGAAGACUCUUGAGAGUCCCUUGGACUGCAAGGAGAUCCAACCAGUCCAUUCUGAAGGAGGUCAGUUCUGGGGUUUCUUUGGAAGGAAUGAUGUUAAAGCUGAAGCUCCAGUACUUUGGCCACCUCAUGUGA